UCACAGUGUGUCUCAGAUGUUGACCACACAGGCGGACAGAUUCUCCCCUGAAGAGCUGGGAGAGAUGUUCACAGCGUUCCCUCCAGAUGUGGCAGGAAACCUGGACUACAAGAACCUCGUGCACAUCAUCACGCACGGAGAGGAGAAAGACCAGGAAUAAAUGAUCCUCUGAUUUAAAAACAAACGUGCAGAAAAUGAGCAGAAAUACAAAUAAAAUGUCUCACGUUGUAUUUUGUAUUAUGGUAUCAACACAUUUUAAUGUAGUCAUAAUAGUCGGUGUAUGUGUCUAUAAAUACUGCAAUCUCUUGAUGUGUAUUUUGUGAAAUUAAAAGUUUGACACCAAGAAAGGAAGUGUGUUAAUUAAAUAUAUUAAUAUUUUGUCCACAACUGGUCGUACACUUUAUCCUAGACAUUUGAAGUCCCAUUCUCAAUCCUAAUUCUCAAAAAAAGACACAAUUUCAUUCUGUAUUUAAAAAUGAAGCCUCGCAAUUGGUAAUGCACAAGUAUAAUUUUCACCCUCUGUCCACUUGAUGUGUAUCUAUAGACAAGUCAAAGUACCGUUUCUCACCGUCCCAAAUAAUACAAACAUACACAUAUACUACAUUGUUACUUGUUAUACAUACAUAUACACACCUGAACACACACAUACUCACAUUCAACUUCUUUCUUUCUCAGCUUGAAGUGUUGCUAUUCUACUUUUAUUUUCACACUUUAUUUAGGUAGCUUAAAGCCAUUUUCUCCAUCCAGUCCAUUGUUUUAGUCAUCAAAAUACGAUUUUAGACAAAUGAACUCACAUAUUGUAAUACAGGAAGUUCUGUUUUGUUUUUAUUUCUCUGUCAACCUUGAUGUGUGCUAUUCUUUUGCUUUUGGACACUUUAUCCAAUUAUUUAAAGAUACCUAAAAACACGAUUUUCUUUCUGUAUAUUUAAAAUGAGCUCACACAACUUG